rnacentral:rRNA from 1 species
UACAGAGGGCGCGAGCGUUGUCCGGAAUCACUGGGCGUAAAGGGCGCGUAGGUGGCCACCAUAAGGCCGCGGUGAAAGUUCGGGGCUCAACCCUGAAUCGGCCGCGGCGACUGUGGGGCUCGGGUACUGUAGAGGCAGGUGGAAUUCCGGGUGUAGCGGUGGAAUGCGUAGAGAUCCGGAAGAACACCAGUGGCGAAGGCGGCCUGCUGGGCAGUGGGACCGAAAGGUCUCUUCAACCGACACUGAGGCGCGACAGCGUGGGGAGCAAACAGG